UUGAUCCUGGCUCAGGAUUAACGCUGGCGGCAUGCCUAAUACAUGCAAGUCGAUCGAGAGGCGAACGGGUGAGUAACACGUAUCCAAUUUACCCCAUAGCGGGGAUAACUAGUCGAAAGAUUAGCUAAUACCGCAUAACUAAAGUUACUAUGGGAUAAGGGUGCGGCAUAUCAGCUAGUUGGUGAGGUAACGGCCCACCAAGGCAAUGACGUGUAGUUAUGCUGAGAGGUAGAAUAACCACAAUGGAACUGAGACACGGUCCAUACUCCUACGGGAGGCAGCAGUAGGGAAUUUUUCACAAUGGACGAAAGUCUGAUGGAGCAAUGCCGCGUGAACGAUGAAGGUCUUGUGAUUGUAAAGUUCUUUUAUUUAGGAAGAUGACCGUACUAUUUGAAUAAGUAACGACUAACUAUGUGCCAGCAGUCGCGGUAAUACAUAGGUUGCAAGCGUUAUCCGGAUUUAUUGGGCGUAAAACAAGCGCAGGCGGAUUAGAAAGUCUGGUGUUAAAAUCACUGCUUAACGGUUGAAUGCAUUGGAAACUUCUAGUCUAGAGUGUGGUAGAGAGUUCUGGAACUCCAUGUGGAGCGGUGGAAUGCGUAGAUAUAUGGAAGAACACCAGCUGCGAAGGCGAGAACUUAGGCCAACUGACGCUUAGGCUUGAAAGUGUGGGGAGCAAAUAGGAUUAGAUACCCUAGUAGUCCACACCGUAAACGAUGGAUGUUAAACGUCGGGGCCUCGGUGUUGCAGUUAACACAUUAAACAUCCUGCCUGGGUAGUACAUUCGCAAGAAUGAAACUCAAAGGAAUUGACGGGGACCCGCACAAGUGGUGGAGCAUGUUGCUUAAUUCGACGGUACACGAAAAACCUUACCUAGACUUGACAUCGACAGGUGGUGCAUGGUUGUCGUCAGCUCGUGUCGUGAGAUGUUGGGUUAAGUCCGCAACGCGCAACCCUUAUCGUUAGUUAUCUAACGAGACUGCCAACGCAAGUUGGAGGAAGGUGGGGAUGACGUCAAAUCAUCAUGCCUUAUGUCUAGGGCUGCAAACGUGCUACAAUGGCCAACAAACAGUUACCAAACCGUAAGGUGGUGAGUAUCUGCUUGGUCUCAGUUCGGAUGAGGGCUGCAAUUCGCCCUCAGAAGUCGGAAUCACUAGUAAUCGCGAAUCAGCUAUGUCGCGGUGAAUACGUUCUCGGGUCUUGUACACACCGCCCGUCAAACUACGAGAGUUGAUAGUGUCUAAAACCGUGUGCUAAGCGCAUGUCUAGGACAAGAUUAAUGAUUGGAGUUAAGUCGUAACAAGGUACCCCUACGAGAACGUGGGGGUG
rnacentral:rRNA from 2 species